AUUGGACGCUGGCGGCAUGCCUUACACAUGCAAGUCGAACGGUAACGCGGGGCAACCUGGCGACGAGUGGCGAACGGGUGAGUAACGCAUCGGAACGUGCCCAGUAGUGGGGGAUAGCCCGGCGAAAGCCGGAUUAAUACCGCAUACGACCUACGGGUGAAAGCGGGGGAUCGCAAGACCUCGCGCUAUUGGAGCGGCCGAUGUCAGAUUAGGUAGUUGGUGGGGUAAAAGCCUACCAAGCCUACGAUCUGUAGCUGGUCUGAGAGGGCGACCAGCCACACUGGGACUGAGACACGGCCCAGACUCCUACGGGAGGCAGCAGUGGGGAAUUUUGGACAAUGGGCGCAAGCCUGAUCCAGCCAUGCCGCGUGCGGGAAGAAGGCCUUCGGGUUGUAAACCGCUUUUGUCAGGGAAGAAACGCUCUGGGUUAAUACCCUGGGGUAAUGACGGUACCUGAAGAAUAAGCACCGGCUAACUACGUGCCAGCAGCCGCGGUAACAC
rnacentral:rRNA from 1 species